CCUUCAUCAGGAUCAUAAGGAGAUAUUUCUUGAACUCUAACUAUGCAGAAGGAAAGUUUCGUGAGAGGGGAGAUGAUAAGUCUGUACUAUGCCAGACAUUUCCCACUCUCACACUUGUCUACUUAGUUUCCAACAACUGAACUUACAGAAGUUUCUGCCCCAGGGCUUCUAUACAACACAAAAGAAUCUAGACCUCCUAUGCUUCAGCGGUAAUAAUAAUGGUAAUUACUGAAGAAUUGUCAGAGACCGCUGAGAUAAACUCACAGAUCCGAGAAAAAGAAAUAAAUGAACAAACAGAAGUACGGCAUUUUAAUUUUUUG
rnacentral:lncRNA from 1 species